rnacentral:rRNA from 1 species
CAGUCGCCGCGGUAAUACGUAGGGUGCAAGCGUUAAUCGGAAUUACUGGGCGUAAAGCGUGCGCAGGCGGUGUUGUAAGAUUGAUGUGAAAUCCCCGGGCUCAACCUGGGAACUGCAUUGGUGACUGCAACGCUGGAGUGCGGCAGAGGGGGAUGGAAUUCCGCGUGUAGCAGUGAAAUGCGUAGAUAUGCGGAGGAACACCGAUGGCGAAGGCAAUCCCCUGGGCCUGCACUGACGCUCAGGUGCGAAAGCGUGGGUAGCAAACAGGAUUAGAUACCCGGGUAGUCCCUGUCUCUUAUAC